ncrna:unclassified sequences TwoGGAY RNA
UGAAAGUUGAUUGUGCUGUUUCUUAUACUUUCCUUCUUCAUACAGAUAUGCGGGUACAAGGAUGUACCCGCAAGUGAGGCCGCGCCAAGGACGGCGCGUCCGAACGGUAUCGUCCGUAUUCAAUAUCUAUAUGGAAAGUAUUAGAAACAACCAAUCAGCUUUCU